CACGUAGGGGGCAAGCGUUGUCCGGAUUUAUUGGGCGUAAAGAGCUCGUAGGUGGUUCGGUAAGUCAGGUGUGAAACCUCCAGGCUCAACCUGGAGACGCCACUUGAUACUGCUGUGACUGGAGUCCGGUAGGGGAGCGUGGAAUUCCUGGUGUAGCGGUGAAAUGCGCAGAUAUCAGGAGGAACACCAGCGGCGAAGGCGGCGCUCUGGGCCGGUACUGACACUGAGGAGCGAAAGCAUGGGGAGCGAACAGG
rnacentral:rRNA from 1 species